rnacentral:rRNA from 1 species
UGGGGAAUAUUGCACAAUGGGCGCAAGCCUGAUGCAGCCAUGCCGCGUGUAUGAAGAAGGCCUUCGGGUUGUAAAGUACUUUCAGCGAGGAGGAAGGCGGUAAGGUUAAUAACCUUAUCGAUUGACGUUACUCGCAGAAGAAGCACCGGCUAACUCCGUGCCAGCAGCCGCGGUAAUACGGAGGGUGCAAGCGUUAAUCGGAAUUACUGGGCGUAAAGCGCACGCAGGCGGUUUGUCAAGUUGGAUGUGAAAUCCCCGGGCUCAACCUGGGAACUGCAUUCGAAACUGGCAGGCUAGAGUAUUGUAGAGGGGGGUAGAAUUCCAGGUGUAGCGGUGAAAUGCGUAGAGAUCUGGAGGAAUACCGGUGGCGAAGGCGGCCCCCUGGACAAAGACUGACGCUGAGGUGCGAAAGCGUGGGGAGCAAACA